GCCGAGGUGGCGGAAUUGGCAGACGCGCUAGGUUGAGGGCCUAGUGACUUUAAUAGGUCGUAAGGGUUCAAGUCCCUUCCUCGGCA
rnacentral:tRNA from 1 species